rnacentral:rRNA from 1 species
GACGGAGGAUGCAAGUGUUAUCCGGAAUCACUGGGCGUAAAGCGUCUGUAGGUGGUUUAAUAAGUCAACUGUUAAAUCUUGAGGCUCAACCUCAAAAUCGCAGUCGAAACUAUUAGGCUAGAGUAUAGUAGGGGUAAAGGGAAUUUCCAGUGGAGCGGUGAAAUGCGUAGAGAUUGGAGAGAACACCGAUGGCGAAGGCACUUUACUGGGCUAUUACUAACACUCAGAGACGAAAGCUAGGGUAGCAAAUGGG